UCGAGGAAGAGGUCGCCAGAGUAGUGAAGGUCGGUGAUGGCGAGGGCACUGCAACUAAACCGAGAGAGAGGGAAAGAGAGAAAAAGAGAGAAGAAUUUGAGAGAGAGAAAGAGAGCUAGAGACAUAGAGGGAGAGAAAGAAAGACAAAAAGAACUUGGCCUGGGCUCGCUGCCGGCUGAGAAGGAUGGCCAAUGACUGGGAGGUAGUCGGGCGGUGGCUGGUGGGGGAGAGUAGGUCUAGAGUUUUCUCUUUUUUCCCUCUUUAUUUCCCUUUCAAUUAUAAGAAUCACACUUUAGUCCCUACAUUGUUUCUCCUUGUCUAUUUAGUCUGCUCUCAGUCCUCUAUGCGAAGGAGUCUUUUGUUUCGAAAAUUUUUCACUUUUCACACAUGAAAUAAUUACUUUUUCACAAAUUGCUCUAUUUUAUUAGGGUAAACUUCAAAUACCACCCUUAUGGUUUCACACUUUCCAACUUUAGUACCCUAUGGUUUAAAGUGUAUCAAGUUAGUGUCAUAUAAUUAUAUUUUUAUUUUUUUCAUCAGCUUUUUCAUUAAUAUUUCAUUAAAUUAUAUACAAAAAACUUCAUAUAUCCUAUCUAGGUUUAUCAAAUAUUUAUUUUAGUAUCCUUUAGUUUUAACUUUGUCACUGAUUUAACAAAAAAUUAGUGGAAUCGAUAAUAAAAAAAUAAAAUGAAAUCACAGGGCACUAAAUUGAUACACUUUAAACCACAGAAUAUUAAAGUGAGAAAGUAUUAAUGUCAUGCCCCGGAUUACCACAUUUCCACGGGCACGUCCACAAACUCGC
rnacentral:lncRNA from 1 species